rnacentral:rRNA from 1 species
GAUGAACGCUAGCUACAGGCUUAACACAUGCAAGUCGAGGGGUCUUUUGGAGCUUGCUUUAAAAGACGACCGGCGCACGGGUGAGUAACGCGUAUCCAACCUGCCCUUCAUAUUGGGAUAGCCUUCCGAAAGGAAGAUUAAUACCGAAUAACAUGAUAGAGUUGCCUGAUUUUAUCAUGAAAGCUCCGGCGAUGAAGGAUGGGGAUGCGUUCCAUUAGGUAGUAGGCGGGGUAACGGCCCACCUAGCCGACGAUGGAUAGGGGUUCUGAGAGGAAGGGCCCCCACACUGGAACUGAGACACGGUCCAGAAUCCUACGGGAGGCAGCAGUGAGGAAUAUUGGUCAAUGGGCGCAAGCCUGAACCAGCCAAGUAGCGUGAAGGAUGACUGCCCUAUGGGUUGUAAACUUCUUUUAUACGGGAACAAACCCUGGUACGUGUACCAGAUUGCGUGUACCGUAUGAAUAAGCAUCGGCUAACUCCGUGCCAGCCGCCGCCGUAACAC